rnacentral:pre_miRNA from 1 species
AGGAGCAACAGCCCUAGUGGCGGGGCCAGCUUCUGCAUCCCUGGAUUCAGCUCCCGCAGUAACUACGGAGCUCUCGUUCUGCAGGACCUGGAGCUUCCGGGGCGGG